GACGAACGCUGGCGGCGUGCUUAACACAUGCCAGUCGAACGGAAAGGCCCUGCUUUUGUGGGGUGCUCGAGUGGCGAACGGGUGAGUAACACGUGAGUAACCUGCCCUUGACUUUGGGAUAACUUCAGGAAACUGGGGCUAAUACCGGAUAGGAGCUCCUGCUGCAUGGUGGGGGUUGGAAAGUUUCGGCGGUUGGGGAUGGACUCGCGGCUUAUCAGCUUGUUGGUGGGGUAGUGGCUUACCAAGGCUUUGACGGGUAGCCGGCCUGAGAGGGUGACCGGCCACAUUGGGACUGAGAUACGGGCCAGACUCCUACGGGAGGCAGCGGUGGGGAAUAUUGCACAAUGGGCGGAAGCCUGAUGCAGCAACGCCGCGUGCGGGAUGACGGCCUUCGGGUUGUAAACCGCUUUCGCCUGUGACGAAGCGUGAGUGACGGUAAUGGGUAAAGAAGCACCGGCUAACUACGUG
rnacentral:rRNA from 1 species